CAACACAACUACAACACAACCGGACAGGGAGGGGAGGGGUUAACUUAGGCCCCGCCUCCAAGGCUCUGCAGCGACAUGAAAUACCAGCAGACCCUCCGCCGCCCAGUGUCCGGUACCGGCCGUCCAGACCCGCUCCCAGCCCCCCAGACCCGCUCCCAGCCCUCCGCGGAUCACGGUGCCUUCAGAACGGGUCUGAGCCUCACGACCGCCCACCGACAGCGGCCUCAACCGCUGUGUCGUCCCGGUGCUGACCGGGAUUGUUGAGCUGAGUGUGCGGAGUUCAGUCAGACCGAGUCCGCCUUAGGACGGGAAACAGAGACACCGCGUACGGGACGGGACGGGACGGCAACUUUACCGGAACCGGAGAGCGGGAUCUCCGUGUGUGUGUGUGUGUUUUUGCGUCUGUGUUUUUGCGUGUGUGUGCGUCUGUGUUUGAGUCCUCGCCAUGUCUCCGUGUUUUCCAACCGUUGAGAAACAGGACGUCCGUUCUCAUUCAACCUGUUGCCGGUGUCCCAGUCACUGACGCCGGGAGUCCUCCGCGUCCGGUAGCGAUUAGAGAACCGAGAGCCAUGUCGACCACCGGCCGUCGGCCCGGGAUGGCGGCGCCCCGGGGGGCCGUGCUGACGGUGCUGUUCACGGUGGCGGUGGUGCACCUCAGCGUGGGAUUCUGUAGAUCGUUGAGUUCUAAUGGAUUGAAACGAGACGGGGGUUCACGGGAGAUGGCCCGGGACUCAAGGCAGCCCGGGGAGUCCAGCGCCACGGACCCGUCCGGGGAGACGCCGUUCAGCGGGUCAGCCGACCCCUCGGAGCCCCUCCCCUUCGUCCGUACAGGUGGGUGCGCCGGGGGGCUUUGAUAAUAUCACAGGUCCCCCUGGAAGGGGCUUCUUAUCCUGCUUCAAAUGAAACGGAAGAUCUGCUACUGGGAGGGCCACUGGUGACCAGUAGAGAGGGGGACACCCUGACCAGUACAGCCACAGCCCUCUACUGGUGGACGCUGGGAGCUGACCAGUACAGCCACAGCCUACUGGUGGACACUGGGAGCCGACCAGUACAUCCACAGCCUUCUACUGGUGGACGCUGGGAGCUGACCAGUACAGCCUAUUAUGUCCAGAGGGUGGAGGUGGUGAUGGAGCAGUGAGGACACCACUUCCCU
ensembl:lncRNA